GACGAGGGAUCCAAGCGUUGUUCGGAAUCAUUGGGCGUAAAGCGGGUGUAGGUGGCUUUGUAAGUCGGGUGUGAAAGCCCAGGACUCAACCCCUGGAAGUGCAUUCGAUACUGCGAAGCUUGAGUGUAGGAGAGGUUACUAGAAUUCUUGGUGUAGUGGUGAAAUACGUAGAUAUCAAGAGGAAUACCGGAGGCGAAGGCGGGUAACUGGCCUAACACUGACACUCAGACCCGAAAGCGUGGGGAUCAAACAGG
rnacentral:rRNA from 1 species